AUUGAACGCUGGCGGCAUGCCUUACACAUGCAAGUCGAACGGUAACAGGUCUUCGGAUGCUGACGAGUGGCGAACGGGUGAGUAAUACAUCGGAACGUGCCUAGUAGUGGGGGAUAACUACUCGAAAGAGUGGCUAAUACCGCAUGAGAUCUACGGAUGAAAGCAGGGGAUCGCAAGACCUUGUGCUACUAGAGCGGCCGAUGGCAGAUUAGGUAGUUGGUGGGAUAAAAGCUUACCAAGCCGACGAUCUGUAGCUGGUCUGAGAGGACGAUCAGCCACACUGGGGCUGAGACACGGCCCAGACUCCUACGGGAGGCAGCAGUGGGGAAUUUUGGACAAUGGGCGAAAGCCUGAUCCAGCAAUGCCGCGUGCAGGAUGAAGGCCUUCGGGUUGUAAACUGCUUUUGUACGGAACGAGAAGCCCCGGGUUAAUACCCUGGGGUCAUGACGGUACCGUAAGAAUAAGCACCGGCUAACUACGUGCCAGCAGCCGCAGUAA
rnacentral:rRNA from 1 species